UGGUCCCUUUGGCAGCAGUACACUAAGAUCGGAACGAUACAGACAAGGUCAGCAUGACCCCUGCGCAAGGAUGACAUGCAAAGUCGUGACGUGCUCCAUGUUUUU